rnacentral:rRNA from 1 species
GAUGAACGCUGGCGGCGUGCUUAACACAUGCAAGUCGAACGAAGAUGCCGGAGUGCUUGCACUUGGCAGACUGAGUGGCGGACGGGUGAGUAACGCGUGGGUAACCUGCCCUGUACCGGGGGACAACAGUUGGAAACGACUGCUAAUACCGCAUAAGCGCACAGCAUCGCAUGAUGCAGUGUGAAAAACUCCGGUGGUACAGGAUGGACCCGCGUCUGAUUAGCUAGUUGGUGAGGUAACGGGCCCCACCAAGGCGACGAUCGGUAGCCGGACUGAGAGGUUGAACGGCCACAUUGGGACUGAGACACGGCCCAGACUCCUACGGGAGGCAGCAGUGGGGAAUAUUGCACAAUGGGGGAAACCCUGAUGCAGCGACGCCGCGUGGAGGAAGAAGGUCUUCGGAUUGUAAACUCCUGUUGUUGGGGAAGAUAAUGACGGUACCCAACAAGGAAGUGACGGCUAACUACGUG